GGUACCAUGCUCUCUAUUUCCUUAUACCAUUGUAGCUCCCUUUGCAUUUGCAGAGCUGCUCCAGGGACUCGAACAAGUUGAAAGGAAGGAGACAACUUGGCAGCCAAAUGUAAAUAAUUGUUUCUAAACACAUCACUCUGAAUCACAAAUGUACGUCUCUUUGCACCCAAUCCAUAGAUUAGGUUGAAGAUUUUUUCUUGACGAAGUGUGACUGCAUGUGCAAAUAGUGUUCUUCCUCUUUUAUCAGCUCUCCAUAUAAUUACUGGAUUGCAUGUGAUCAACUCGUUGAUAAACUCAAAUGAACCACACUUGAUUGCAUCAUAGAUCACUUGAUCCAAGCCAAUAUUCUUGAGUUGUUCAUUGCUUAAUGUUGGGAUCUCCUUGACAAUGACUUUGAGGAGUUGCAAGGCUUUAGCGUGUUUGAGCUUUAAAUCUUUGAUGCCUUUAGGGACAAGAAAUUGCAAGAAUCUCCAAACAACACGAUGUAAUAAAUUGACCACUUGUUUUGUUUUGAUUUUCCCAUAAUUUGAGCCUGGACUAUUAGACCUUUGGCCAUUCUCCUCAUCAUUAGGCUCCCGAGAGGACAUUUCACCAAGAUAAACAUUCGGCACACAUGAGUAGAUCCAUUGCUUCCAAAAUUCAAGCUUACUUCCACUUAAAAAUGCCGAAGGUUCAUUGGCUAACAAUUUGAUAGCAUAGUUGUUAUGAAAAUCUUGGGUGUAACCAAGUUGUGGAUACUUUUUAAGCAGAUCCAAUGCUUCAUCGUACAUCUCAUUUGUUAUAAGGC
rnacentral:misc_RNA from 1 species